GCCCCCGCCCUUGGGGAGUAGCCUACUUCCGCAACGGAAGUUCCCGCAUCAACAUACUUGACGUCAGCACGUCAUGGUGCGGAAGCCUUCUGGUUGGCAAGACCAUUGGCAUGUUCACGCGACGAUCGGGCCGCGCGACAUGCCUUGUGUCGUGCCCGAUCGGAAAGCU
rnacentral:sRNA from 2 species